UACGGGGGGGGCAAGCGUUGUUCGGAAUUACUGGGCGUAAAGGGCUCGUAGGCGGCCAACUAAGUCGGACGUGAAAUCCCCAGGCUCAACCUGGGAACUGCGUCCGAUACUGGAUGGCUUGAAUCCGGGAGAGGGAUGCAGAAUUCCAGGUGUAGCGGUGAAAUGCGUAGAUAUCUGGAGGAAUACCGGUGGCGAAGGCGGCAUCCUGGACCGGCAUUGACGCUGAGGAGCGAAAGCCAGGGGAGCAAAGCGGG
rnacentral:rRNA from 1 species